rnacentral:rRNA from 1 species
UACGUAGGGUGCAAGCGUUGUCCGGAAUUAUUGGGCGUAAAGAGCUCGUAGGCGGUUCGUCGCGUCGGCUGUGAAAACCCGGAGCUCAACUCCGGGCCUGCAGUCGAUACGGGCGGACUUGAGUGUUGCAGGGGAGACUGGAAUUCCUGGUGUAGCGGUGAAAUGCGCAGAUAUCAGGAGGAACACCGAUGGCGAAGGCGGCUCACUGGCCCGAUACUGACGCUGAGGCACGAAAGCGUGGGGAGCAAACAGG